rnacentral:rRNA from 1 species
AUUGAACGCUGGCGGCAGGCCUAACACAUGCAAGUCGAGCGGAUGAAGGGAGCUUGCUCCUGGAUUCAGCGGCGGACGGGUGAGUAAUGCCUAGGAAUCUGCCUGGUAGUGGGGGAUAACGUCCGGAAACGGGCGCUAAUACCGCAUACGUCCUGAAGGAGAAAGUGGGGGAUCUUCGGACCUCACGCUAUCAGAUGAGCCUAGGUCGGAUUAGCUAGUUGGUGGGGUAAAGGCCUACCAAGGCGACGAUCCGUAACUGGUCUGAGAGGAUGAUCAGUCACACUGGAACUGAGACACGGUCCAGACUCCUACGGGAGGCAGCAGUGGGGAAUAUUGGACAAUGGGCGAAAGCCUGAUCCAGCCAUGCCGCGUGUGUGAAGAAGGUCUUCGGAUUGUAAAGCACUUUAAGUUGGGAGGAAGGGCAGUAAGUUAAUACCCUGCUGUUUUGACGUUACCAACAGAAUAAGCACCGGCUAACUUCGUG